GCCCUAGUAGCUUAAGCUAACCUAAAGCCCUGGUCUUGUAAACCAAAAAUGAGAUAUACUCUCCUAGGUCA
rnacentral:tRNA from 1 species